rnacentral:tRNA from 1 species
GGGAGUUUAGCUCAGCUGGCUAGAGCGUCCGGUUCAUACCCGGGAGGUCGGGGGUUCGAUCCCGUUAACUCCCA